GAACGCUGACUCAGCGGGGGAAUCUAGUCUACCCUCUUCCAUUCCCUGGCUCUUUCUAGAUCAUCACUGACUCACUGGCUUUUCCCCCUGAACUCCCAAGCCUGCCUGAACUCAUCCCUCCCUCUCCUUCAGAGGUGUGACUCACCCUGCUUGAGCCUCAGGUGGAGACGGCUCCCAGCCAGAGACCAGCCCUCCGGGGGAGAGCUCCAGAAAGGGGAUUGGUCCACAGGGGCCAGGUUGGUUGCCCAGCCUCGCCUCUCUCUUUUCUUCCUGUCCCCAGUCCCUCCGUGAGUGGUCCUGGAGCUCACGGAAACUCCUGGUCAGACCAACUCUACCAGAGCUGUUGGGAGAGGAAGGAGGAAGCUGGUAGAACCUGAUAGUGUUUUCUCAGAGGGAAUAAAAGCUGACGGCCUCCAGAUUUCUUGAGGAAAGCCCUGUCUCCAGAUCAGAGGGUUCAGCAUGCGGAUGGCCCCGGAGGAGAAGACAGAUAUGACCCUGUCCUAUCAACCUAUAGCGUGCGAGAGCUCCGCUGGGCAUGCAGGACCAGGAUGGCGCCGGAGAUGAGGCAGGUGGGGGAUGAGGGUGGAAAUACAUCAACAGGGCCACGUCCAAGAGUUCCAGAAAGCCAGAGUUGAAAGAACUUUUGGGGAACGUCGGAGUCAACAUCUUUGGGAAGAGGCCCAGAGGGAAAGGUGCUUGCUGAAACUUAUACACAGCCUGUGAACUCUGAGUGGGCUGGAGACCUGGUCUUUCUAAACAAAAAAUAUUUCCUCAAGUUACCCAAUCAUGCCAUAGUAAUGUGCUGCUGUUCCCGGUCCUGUUCCCAGGAUGACCUGGAUCCUUUCAGAUGAAUGCUGAUUAUUCAUUAACCAUCAAGGGCACUGCUGGACUAUGUACACUUGGCAAUAGGCUCUUUUUCAGCUGAAAUGAUUUCCCUAUUGACUGUCCCAGCUCCCCUGGCGUGAUGGGUGGGAGGCACAUUCAGCGUGGUAGCCCUGCCAUCAUGUCAUCAAUGGAGAAAGUGAGGCAAAGAUCUGUUUCUAGGGGAAUAGAAAAGCGUCCCAUAGUGUUGUUUUAAAAUAAUAAGUUGAACCGAAGAAUGGAAAUCAUCUAUAUCUAGUGGAUUCACUAUUGGGACUGAGAGCCGGGAUUUCCGACAGCAACAUGACCUAACUAAUUGUUCCAGGAAAUUCAGCCAAGGAAGAUAUGGCCAUAAACCAAGAAAUAAGUUCACUGUUUGCUUCACGAAAUUCCUGCAAACCAAUUUAUCUAAACAAAUAGUUUGCAAAAAAAUAAAAAGCAAGGGCGGGGAUGGGGGAGAUGUGCCUGGGCAGCUCAGAUGGUUUAGCAUCUGCCCUCGGCUCAGAUCAUGAUCCCAGGGUCCUGGGAUGGAGCCCCACAUUGAGCUUCCUGCAUAACGGGGAGCCUGCUUCUCCCUCUCCCUCUGCCAUUCCCUCCACCUGUGCUCUCUGGCUCUGUCUAUCUCUCUGUCAAAUAAAAAAAAUAAAUAAAA